CAGCCAAUAAGCUUGUAGCCUGGAUUGAAUAAAAAGGGAAAGAAGCAGGAAGCAUGCCUGUUUUGAAGCACUACGGUCUUCCUAGUGGGUAUGUCCUUUGCUGUUUGGGGCCUCUGGUGGGUUCACAUAGGUGAAUCACAUCAGAGACCCUCACAGAUUUGGAGCAGGGCUCUGGUAUCAUCCAUAGACUGUCACACUUCCUUUAAGAAACAGCUCCUGGUCUGCUGCUGGCCCUUAGUGGAAACUGAAUGCUUGACCAUGGGAUGCCAUGUGACUGACCUGAGCUGCCCAUCAUGAGCUGGGUGCUCUGUGGCCCACCAGAUCAUAAAGUUGGAUGUCUACAGCAACAGCCCAUCAUUAAAUGGAAGUGGUAUAUAUGUGAUCGGGGUGAGCAGAUCAAGAAGGUAUAAGGUUAUGGCUUCUAACAGAAAAUGUGAACAGAAUUUUGGGAAGAUAGGCCAUUCCCUGUGAGAUGGAUGGGCUCUGACACAGACUCCUCACAGCUAAAAAGAAUUACAACAGGAUUACAGUUGCUGCCCCACAUGGAGAAUAGUAUAACUGACCUUGUUGGUGUUCAACAACUGAGGCUUGGAGACCAAAGCUAAGGGAGGUAAAAGGACAAAGAGGUCAGCCAAUAAUUUGGUCCUCCAAGGUCAUAACAGGUCCCCUCUGCCAGGCCCCUGAACCUGCAGUGAGUAACCCAACCUCCUGAGCAGGGGGAUUGUUGGGCUCCAGAGGACAGAAACGCUACGGUGUGCAUUGUGCUAAAGGAGGGUCACAACAGAGGGGAGUGUCCCCAUGCUUCCAAGGAAGCGAUAUGGUCACACAAGACCACAAUCCAUCUGGGCAGUUGACACAACCAGUAAGGAUCUGAGGGAACCAAAAGGCUCUGGUCUUCACAUGUCCCCAAAAGUAACCCCUGAGAAGCCUUGAGUGACCUUAACAGCAAAGGGAAGCUAGUUUGGUAGCAUACUCGGUCUCAAGCAAUCAAUGGGAAAGUAUAACCAGAGAGUGAAUUAGUUAUUAACAUUUUUAAAAAUUAGAGAGCUGGGGAUAUACCCAGUGAUGCCCAGCCUAUCUG
rnacentral:lncRNA from 1 species